rnacentral:rRNA from 1 species
UACGAAAGGAGCGGGUGUUAUUCGGAUUAACUGGGCGUAAAGGGCGCGUAGGUGGUUUGUUAUGUGUGUUAUUAGAUCAUAAAGCUUAACUUUAUAGAAUAACAUAUACAGCUAAACUAGAGUUUAGUAUAGGGUAGUAGAAUUUCUAAUGUAAAGGCGAAAUUUGAUAAAAUUAGAGAGAAUACCGAUGGCGUAAGCAACUACCUGGGCUUUAACUGACAUUGAGGCGCGAAGGCGUGGGGAGCAAAUAGG